rnacentral:misc_RNA from 1 species
GUGAAUCAUCAAAUCUUUGAACGCAAAUUGCACUCUCCUCGGAGAGGAUGCCUGUUUGAGGUUCAGCCUAAAAAAAAUCGACAUCGUUGCUGUUCCGCGGUGUCGUUCGUCGGAAAUGGGGUUAGCUUAAACCUUUUGGUUUAAGCGACUUAAAAUUUUCCUUUUGUUUCCUUGAACGUUCCUAUGAUUUAUUUCUUUAUACGUUUAAGGUAUAGUUUUUUAUUAGACGUGG